UGGGGAAUUUUGCACAAUGGGCGCAAGCCUGAUGCAGCGACGCCGCGUGAGGGAUGAAGGCCUUCGGGUUGUAAACCUUUUUCGCUCAUGGUCAAGCCGCAGCUUUGGGUUGUGGUGAGGGUAGUGGGUAAAGAAGCGCCGGCUAACUACGUGCCAGCAGCCGCGGUAAUAUGUAGGGCGCGAGCGUUGUCCGGAAUUAUUGGGCGUAAAGGGCUUGUAGGCGGUUGGCCGCGUCUGCCGUGAAAUCCUCUGGCUUAACUGGGGGCGUGCGGUGGGUACGGGUUGACUUGAGUGCGGUAGGGGAGACUGGAAUUCCUGGUGUAGCGGUGGAAUGCGCAGAUAUCAGGAGGAACACCGGUGGCGAAGGCGGGUCUCUGGGCCGUUACUGACGCUGAGGAGCGAAAGCGUGGGGAGCGAACAGG
rnacentral:rRNA from 1 species